rnacentral:tRNA from 1 species
AAAAACUUAGGAUAAAUAAACCAAGGGCCUUCAAAGCCCUAAAUAUGGGCAAAUUCCCAUAGUUUUUG